AUGGAUACAUGUCAGCUGUUGUUGGGAAGACCAUGGCAGUUUGAUCAUGAUGCAGUCCAUGCUGGAAGAUCCAACACAUACACGUUCAUGCAUGAUGGAAGGAAGCACGUGUUGAAACCAAUGGCAGACAGUGCAAUCAUCAUAGAGAUGCAAGUUCCGGAGAGUAAGGUUGUACAAAAAAUAGACUUGAAACCGAGGACGGUUUCUCUUCAAGGAAGGGAGGAUGAUGCGGGCAUGACACCAUUGAUCGAUAAUCCUACUGAACCUGAACCAUUUAAUGAGUCAAGUCAAGAAAAAUUGCGAAAAAUAAUGUAA
rnacentral:rRNA from 1 species